UUCAGAGAGCCUAAGCAAUUUGCUGAAAGUCACCUAAUAAGUGAGUAGAGGAAUUUGGAAGACCAAAACCAUUGAGAAAAGGGUGACCAAAAUGGAGCAGAGCCAAGAGUUACCAUAGAUAUUUUCAAGUACGGAGAAUUUUUUGCAGAUGUGUCAUUAGCUGUCUACGCAUUUUGGAUAUACCUUUACUUUGAUGAAUUCACUUUGAUGAAU
rnacentral:lncRNA from 1 species